CGCGCGCGGGUGUGUGUGUGUGUGUGCGCGCGCGCGCGCGCGCGCGUGUGCGCACGCGUCUCGGUAAAGGAGUUCAAUUGCCUUCCAUAAACAGCGGUUUCCUCUUUCUCUUGCCUCCCCUGACCCUAUAUCCUCUUCGCGCGUUCCGCUGAGAGUAGGUCAGGAAGGGAUAGAAAUCACCUUGCUGUGUAAUGGAGGGAGGUGGCCCGUGGAACCUGCAUGAGGGGACUCACUAUUCCUGAGAACGAAGUUACUGGAUAAGAUGCCAUUUUCGUUUUUCUCUUCAUGUUCUCACCUAACGCUUCUGUUAUCAUCAGCUCUCUCCCUCUCAAGACCUGCAUCAGACAUUUUGCAUCUAGGAAUUUUCCUGAAGACCCAAAAAGAUCAACUUCAGUCAGAAAUAGCCUCGAAAAAGCCCUUGUUCACCAGAAGGCGGGAGGCAAGGACCAAAGGAAUAUCUACCAUGGGCCAGACUUUCGAUGUACAGGCUGUCCCUUCCUUCAUGAAUUCCAGGAGACACAUCCACAUGGUAAUCACUGCAGGGGUACAAUUCCUUGUGACAGCUUCCUGCCCGAUGGCAGUACGGUGUUUUGGGGAUGAAACACCUCGAUCAUUGUCAACGGCACUCAUACAGGCACUGAACGCCUCCAGGAUGAAGUUUGCUUAUGACCUGUGUGGGGUCCUGGGAAGAGGUGCUUUCUGCCCCAAGUGUUGACAAUUCAGACCAGAGAUGGGUGGCUGUUGCAAUGGAUGUCUAUAAUGUCUGUCUGCCCUUUUUUCUAAAAAUAGCUCCCAAGGCUUCCUCUAGGCAAAAACUCCUUCUUACGCUCAUGCCGUGAAAUCUCAGUACAGCUAAACUCACCCUUGGCUUUCGAUGUCAGAGUAAUCUAUCUGCCAGUCUGUAGCAUCUGCUUUUCCAGACUUCGGGGAAAUAAGCAAGACGCAGAAUCCUUCAACGACAGGGCUUUGCCGGGCGGGGUGACUGCUGGACGAUCCGUGCCCUUGCCCUAGGUUUCCAGGCGGUUACACUUUCCUCACUGAGGGGGAACAUGCCUGAGGUUGAAGUCAACACAGGAAUACGAAGGUGAGCCAGGGAGAGAGAGUGAUUCCAGGAAACUUGCUCUGAGACCCUGAUUCAUCUCCACCACGGAGUAAAAUCUGCUCUUUCCAACGUUCUUUGAGAUUUUAGGAAAGCAUGCCUGUCUCUGUGUCAUCAGAUCUGGUUUCGCAUUCCACCACACAGACUCUCUUGCCAGCCGACCAGACCGUCCCGCCAGUGAUGUUAUUAAUGACCCCAGCCUAUACGGGGCGUGCUCACCAUUGAGACUGACCACGUGUUAGCCCAUGCACCUGGCUGGUUGUACCUGCCCUUUUGCCUGCAUCCACCAGCCAGGCCUGAACUGCUCACCACCUACCUAGCCUGACUCUAGAAAGUGUAGCCCAAACACAGUAAACUAAUUCCGACAUUUUAUUUUUAAGGUCUAUUUACUUAUUUUGAGAGAGAGGGAGAUGGCGUGAGUGGGGUGGGAGCAGAGAAAGAGGGAGAGAGAGAAUCCCAAGCAGGCUCCAUGGUGCCAGCACAGAGCCCAGCGCGGGACUCGAACUCACGAAACCGUGAGAUCAUGACCUGAGCCAAAACCGAGAGUCGGAUGCUUAACCGACCGAGCCACUGCGGUGCCCCUCAUUUUGACAUUUUAAGUUAUCUCUGUAUUGAGGCACCUGGGUGGUUCAUCAGUUAAGCGUCCGACUUCGGCUCAGGUCAUGAUCUCACAGUUGGUGGGUUUGAGCCCCGUGUCGGGCUCUGUGCCGAUAGCUCGGAGCCUGGAGCCUGUUUGAGAUUCUGUGUCUCCCUCUCUCCCUGGCCCUCCCCUGCUUGUGCUCUCUCUCUCUCUCUCUUUCAAAAAUAAACAUUAAAAAAGUCUUUAAACAUAAAAUAAGUUGUAUUUACCUGAUGAGAGGUUUAACACAUUGCUAUUUUUUUUUUUUUACCAUCAUAGAAGAAUGUUAGCCCUUGAAAUCCAACUGACGACUCUUACACAACAGAUACACCUGCUGCUUUGAAUUCUGCAUGUGCAACAUUCCCAUACAGUUUGUAAAAGCUUUAUCAUUCAUGAAUGGAAACCUUUUGCUUCUCAGAACUUCCUUCAAUCAUAACAACGUGAAGAGAAUAGAAGGUUGGUACAUCCUUGCUUGGGGUAUAGACCUACCUGGUCCCACAGACUUGGACUUAUUUAUAAAUCCACACAGACAAAAACAAAGAGGCAACAAGGAGGUCCAGGAUCUUCAGACCUCAAAUGCAAAUGCCCAAUUUCUGGUCCUCAGCCCCAGGCAUAAUAAAGGUAGCAUUUUAGAAGAAGACGCUGAGAACCGAAUUCGGGACAAGUGAGAAAAGCUUGCAGCCGACAACCUAGUAAAGAAGCUAUAGUUAGAUGCCAGCCAUAGAAUCAUAGAAUCCCAAACUGCAAUGUCGGUAGAGGGUACAAACAGGAAGAGAAAAUCUAAAAUAUCUCACAGAGCAAGGAACGCGAUAGAGUCGAUACAACAGAGGAAGGAAUAGCAGAAGUCGGGACCCACUCCACAUGGAAGGAGGGUCAAGUGCCAUUCAGAACCGAAGGUACCGUCUUGGUGUCGAGUCAGUUCCCACCAGACGUGGAGGCAGGCUUGAAACGAGGCCGCAGGGACUCUGCUGACCUUUAUCCAAAUCCUCUAUGGUUCUCGCUAAUCUCACGCCAAGGUAAAAAUUGCUUCCUCGAUCGCAAGUGACUUGAUGGCAAACAAUUUAUUAUCGAGCUGUGAGUUACUGAGAAUUCAGAUCCAAUGGAGAGGUGACCAGGAAUUUCCCAAGUCAGUGGAACUUAGAAAGACCUUGUUGAAGAAGGAGUACGAUUUUUUGCAGAUGGGCAUGAGCGAGGGGUGGUUGUUCCAGAUUGGGAAACAAAUAAAAAUUAGGGCAAGGCAAUAGUAAGAAGUCUCGAGCAUUCCUGUUCAAUAGUAGCAUAGUCUAGUCUCUGAGACGACUUUUCAGUAAAGAAGACAGAAAGGAAAUUUGCUCAAUCCGAUGUUUGCAAGCCUUUUGGACCACGGGCUCUCUUUACCCGUGCCCUAGCUAGUAACGGUCACUGUUCUGAGGAACACGGGUCAAGAAACAUAAUCCUAAACUGUACAGGACUUGUUAUUGUCAGGAACCCCAGAGGACACGUGUUUUGUGAACGUCCCGGGGCCCCAGCUGCAUACAGCAAGGGCUUGGUUUACUUUGAGACCAGGUGGAGGACAAGUCACCAAGUAUCUGGGGUUUUCUUUGUUCUGUUAUUUCCCCAGAGGCCCACAGCCCCCAAGGGAUAGGGUUUUAACUAAGGACUUGACAAAUGGCAAUCUUCAUGAAUUAUUGAUUCGGCCAAAAAUCAUUGGAAAGAUUGAUAAUUGCAUAAAGAUUUCCUCAUGCUUCC